rnacentral:rRNA from 1 species
AGGGAUUACCUCAGUAACGGCGAGUGAAGCGGUAAAAGCUCAAAUUUGAAAUCUGGCUCUUUCAGGGUCCGAGUUGUAAUUUGUAGAAGAUGUUUCGGAUGUGGUCCCAGUCUAAGUUCCCUGGAACUGGACAUCAUAGAGGGUGAGAAUCCCGUAUGUGACUGGGUACCUACGUCCAUGUGAAACUCUUUCGACGAGUCGAGUUGUUUGGGAAUGCAGCUCAAAAUGGGAGGUAAAUUUCUUCUAAAGCUAAAUAUUGGCCAGAGACCGAUAGCGCACAAGUAGAGUGAUCGAAAGAUGAAAAGCACUUUGGAAAGAGAGUUAAACAGUACGUGAAAUUGUUGAAAGGGAAGCGCUUGCAAUCAGACUUGCGCCUAGUUGAUCAUCCUGACUUUUGUCUGGUGCACUCGAUUAGGCUCAGGCCAGCAUCAGUUUAGAGGGUUGGAUAAAGGCUUUGGGAAUGUGGCCCCUCUCGGGGGGUGUUAUAGCCCAAGGUGCAAUGCAGCCUCUCUGGACUGAGGACCGCGCUUCGGCUAGGAUGCUGGCGUAAUGGUUGUAAGCGACCCGUCUUGAAACACGGACCAAGGAGUCUAACAUCUAUGCGAGUAUUUGGGUGUUAAACCCAUAUGCGUAAUGAAAGUGAACGGAGGUGAGAGCCCUUAAGGGUGCAUCAUCGACCGAUCCUGAUGUCUUCGGAUGGAUUUGAGUAAGAGCAUAGCUGUUGGGACCCGAAAGAUGGUGAACUAUGCGUGAAUAGGGUGAAGCCAGAGGAAACUCUGGUGGAGCUCGCAGCGGUUCUGACGUGCAAAUCGAUCGUCAAAUUUGCGUAU